ACUUGUAUCUGUCAACAGAACCGUCGAUCUUCUGUUUUACCACAAACACACAUUUACAGCCAAUAGGUCUCUUCUAAAGUGGAAGAGUCACAAGUUCCAUGUAGCAUUUCUUUUUAAGGCACUCAUUUCUUCCUCCAUUGCGGCCUUCCAUUUUUUUCUACAAGAGCUUUCUGCCCAUUCUUCGGGACACAAGUAGGUGAAAGAGAAAACACAAAACCACGAUAGGAGGGGGGGAAAGGGAACCAUAUGAAAUAAACGGAGAUAUAGGGUGUUAAAUACAGGUCCUAGUGCCUUUUCUGAGGGCAAUAGGUUGGUCAGAAGGAGAAAUUGUACCUGAAGUAUGAUGCUUAGUCGGUUCUGCAUCCAGGGUUGGCGAAGGGAUGUGUAAAGGUGUUGUAGUAGUGGUGAUGGUCUGAAGUUGCUUAUUUUUGGUAUGUCCCUAUGAUAAACUUGAAGAGUGGAGUCAUCAAUUUGUCUCUGAAAUUCACCAAUGGUUCUCUGAAUUGGAGUCAUCUCCCCCUGACUUGGAACAAUAGGAAUCGCCCCCUAAGUUGGAAAAAUAGGUUUUGUUCCCUCACUGUCUUGUGGAGUAUGAGGAUCCUGAGGUGAAGAUGGUGGGUAUACUGAUGGAGCAAGCAGAUUCAGAGUCAUCUCUUCUUCACUAGUAAUACCAAACUCCCCCUAACAAAGGUGAUGAAGGUCUGUGAUUCUUGAGGAAGAACGGGAUUGGAAACUGAAAACCUAGAUAAGAAAUUAGGGUCUCAUACGAUGUUAACAGUAAAAAUGUGAGAAUGCUUGUGUGUCUUUAAGUGAUCACACAAGUCCUCUAUUUAUAAUAUAGAAUCAUGAUGGAGAUAGGAGUACGAAACAGAAAUCAUAAAGUAAUUACUAGUAUAACCCCCUCAUCCAGCCGACCCACUCUAACUAAGGUUGGUGGAAGGGGGAGAGCCCCAAUGUGCCCCUAUGACACUUGUUCUUAUUCUAACACACAUACAAGGUGCAUAAUUUCUUCAGAAAUUGCAGGAUUACUAUUGCUUUGAAUUUGGAAUUAUUCAAUUUUGUGGCGCCAUAAUGAUCCAAUAUUAAGGUUUUCGGAACCCAGGAUUGCAUCAAUGUAGCUUACUAUAGUCAAAACAGGGAGAAUAAUUCUUUUGGCCUGCAAGGGAUAUUUGUUAGUCAAUCAUAUUAGUCCCUCAUAAAUUUUGAGUGGAAAAAUCCCUUUCCUCUUAUACCUAUGAUCACUUCCUCUUAUAAGAUCGGUCUUUUGAGAUGGAAAUUUACCAUAUUUGGUAACCGUUGCUCCAAACCUAUUUUAUUCCUCUGAUGACUAGGCACUAAGUUUCAGAUCGUACCCUGCAAAACUUUUAAACUGUUAUAUUUGAAUUGGAUUUUAAGUAGUGUAGUACUUUUUUCAGAAAUUUCUCUCAUGAUUCACUUUCAAUGACUGUUCAAUUUGUGAAUAUUGCUGUGAUUAGAACCAAAAUUUUCUACAGUUCUCGGGAUCUAAUUCUAUUCUUAAUAUUUUCUUCUCAACGAUCUGUUCAUUUUUAAGUUGCUUAUCUGCUCUUCUCUACGCAUAAUGUAGAAAAUAUGUUACCCAUUCUUAAGCCUGCUAGAGGUAGAAUCUCAUUCAUUUAACUUUGAUGGUGGGAAGCAGUUCCUGUUGAGGCCAUAGUAAUGGAUGUAAAUUUAGAUUUAACUUAUCUUUUUGUGUACAUCUGUCCUACGAGGUAAAAAUUUUAAAUAUUCCUUAGAAUUUUGAGUGAAAAAAUUUAGUUAUUUAUGGUUCGAAGUGAAGAAUAACUAUGAUAAGUCCUGUUCUAUUGAACAGUGCAGUUCCAACACAGCUCAUGCAAAUGAAAAUGUUGUAUUGGUUCUGAGUGAGCAGGCCAUUGUUUGUUUGCAGGCUAAGGUCACCUUUUCACAGGCUUUGUAUUCUGCAAUAGUGGAGCAAUACAAUGUGCUCAAAUCUGCCAUACAUGGCAAUCAAGGACUGAUGGCUUCAAACUCAGCAAUCAAAUUGUCACAACCAUGGUUAUAGUAGUAGUAGGCUACUGCCAGUUACCUCCUAUUAUCAGACAACAAAUUUUGUUUGCACCUGUUGUAUAAUAAUCAUUGGCUGAUUAAGAACAUACAUUGUUUGUCCAUCAAGAUUGCAUUCACUCGGAUGCCCCUUAUAUUCACCAAAGCCCAAUCCAGACCCCCCAGGGAAAGAAAUCACCAGGAAAUAAAGCUGGCUAUGAGUAGGCUCGGCUAUCUACCACUCACGUUCUUCAAUAUUCUGAACAGUGAAGACACAGCAUUGUUGACGUUCAUCUGGCCAUGUAUAACUUUCAAAAUAGCAUCAAUAUGUUUGUAAUUUCUUUCUUGUCA